rnacentral:rRNA from 1 species
CCUACGGGUGGCUGCAGUCGAGAAUCAUUCACAAUGGGGGAAACCCUGAUGGUGCGACGCCGCGUGGGGGAAUGAAGGUCUUCGGAUUGUAAACCCCUGUCAUGUGGGAGCAAAUUAAAAAGAUAGUACCACAAGAGGAAGAGACGGCUAACUCUGUGCCAGCAGCCGCGGUAAUACAGGGGUCUCAAGCGUUGUUCGGAAUCACUGGGCGUAAGGCGUGCGUAGGCUGUUUCGUAAGUCGUGUGUGAAAGGCGCGGGCUCAACCCGCGGACGGCAUAUGAUACUGCGAGACUAGAGUAAUGGAGGGGGAACCGGAAUUCUCGGUGUAGCAGUGAAAUGCGUAGAUAUCGAGAGGAACACUCGUGGCGAAGGCGGGUUCCUGGACAUUAACUGACGCUGAGGCACGAAGGCCAGGGGAGCGAAAGGGAUUAGAUACCCUGGUAGUC